rnacentral:rRNA from 2 species
ANNUGCAGUCGACGCGUUGGCCCAAUUGAUUGAUGGUGCUUGCACCUGAUUGAUUUUGGUCGCCAACGAGUGGCGGACGGGUGAGUAACACGUAGGUAACCUGCCCAGAAGCGGGGGACAACAUUUGGAAACAGAUGCUAAUACCGCAUAACAACGUUGUUCGCAUGAACAACGCUUAAAAGAUGGCUUCUCGCUAUCACUUCUGGAUGGACCUGCGGUGCAUUAGCUUGUUGGUGGGGUAACGGCCUACCAAGGCGAUGAUGCAUAGCCGAGUUGAGAGACUGAUCGGCCACAAUGGGACUGAGACACGGCCCAUACUCCUACGGGAGGCAGCAGUAGGGAAUCUUCCACAAUGGGCGCAAGCCUGAUGGAGCAACACCGCGUGAGUGAAGAAGGGUUUCGGCUCGUAAAGCUCUGUUGUUAAAGAAGAACACGUAUGAGAGUAACUGUUCAUACGUUGACGGUAUUUAACCAGAAAGUCACGGCUAACUACGUGCCAGCANNCG